rnacentral:misc_RNA from 1 species
UUUCCGUAGGUGAACCUGCGGAAGGAUCAUUAAUAAAUGGCUCCGCGUUAGGAGCACUUAAUAAUCCUACCUUUGUGAAUUUGUUGUUUGAAAUAAUUUUUUUUAAAAUUAUUGAAUGUCUUUCCCUGUUGAAUUAGAGUGUUUUCGGACACAAAGAUUCGCAGGGAUAGUCAAUAAUUUUUAAAAAGACCUUUUUUAAAUUAAACUUUUUGUAUUCAUUUGUCUAAAAUUAUUUUUAUAAUAUAAAAACAACUUUUGACAAUGGAUCUCUUGGUUCUCGCAACGAUGAAGAACGCAGCAAAAUGCGAUAAGUAGUGUGAAUUGCAGAAUACGUGAAUCAUCGAAUCUUCGAACGCAUAUUGCACUUUUUUAGUUUACUAAAAAAGUAUGUCUGUUUGAGUACCAGUAAAAUAUUCUCAUAAAAACAUUGUUUUUAUGGUUAUGAGUGUUUUACAACGAUACAAGUUGUUUCACUUUAAAUUUUUUUUAAAAUUUGAAUUUUUUCUAAUUUUAAAAUAAAAUUGGAUAAAAUUUUCCGUAAAAAGGAAUAACCUAAACAAUUUUAAUUUUAAUAAUUAGAAUUCAAAUAUCAAAAAGGAAUUUAUUCAAAAUAACUUGAUCUCAAAUCAGAUAAGAGUACCCGCUGAACUUAAGCAUAUCAAUAAGCGGAGGAAAAGAAACUAACAAGGAUUCCCUUAGUAACGGCGAGUGAGCGGAAGAGCUCAAAUUUGAAAUCUUCAAGGUUUUACCUUGACGAAUUGUAGUUUAAAGAAGUGUUUUCUGUUGAAGUUUCGGUAAAAGUUCUUUGGAAUAGGACAUCAUAGUGGGUGAGAAUCCCGUAUUUGACCGUUACUUUCAGCUGUGUGAUACACUUUCAAAGAGUCGGAUUGUUUGGGAAUGCAGUCCAAAAUGGUGGUAAAUUUCAUCUAAAGCUAAAUAUUGGCGGGAGACCGAUAGCGAACAAGUACCGUGAGGGAAAGAUGAAAAGAACUUUGAAAAGAGAGUUAAACAGUACGUGAAAUUGUCAAAAGGGAAGCGUUUGACACCAGUGUUGUUUUCUCGAAAAUCAAUUAAAAAUGGCUUGAUUUUGUGUUGUAUUGACCUUAAAAGCUUUCUGCACUUUCUUCAUGUCUUUUUUAAUGCACUUUUCGUUUAACAAGUCAACAUCAGUUUCUUUUGUUGUAAAAAGGUCAUUGGAAGGUGGCUUUCUUUUCGGAGAAAGUGUUUAUAGCCUUUGGCCCUGCAAUCGGAGAGACUGAGGUCUGCAGCGUAGAUCCUUCUGGAUUAGAUUCAUUUGUGCUAAGUUAUAGCUUUUUAUAGACAACUUGUUGACUAUGAUUAGUCUUGUAGCUUACUCGCUUAUGCAAUUU